ACUGGUGUAUAUGAUGACUAAACUUUUUUCCCCAUCAGAGCGAAAGUGUUGACCUCUUCGCUGUUAGCCAGAAACUGUCUGAUACACCAGU